AUUGAACGCUGGCGGCAUGCCUUACACAUGCAAGUCGAACGGUAACGGGCCUUCGGGUGCCGACGAGUGGCGAACGGGUGAGUAAUACAUCGGAACGUGCCCGAUCGUGGGGGAUAACGAGGCGAAAGCUUUGCUAAUACCGCAUACGAUCUACGGAUGAAAGCAGGGGACCGCAAGGCCUUGCGCGGACGGAGCGGCAGAUGGCAGAUUAGGUAGUUGGUGGGAUAAAAGCUUACCAAGCCGACGAUCUGUAGCUGGUCUGAGAGGAUGAUCAGCCACACUGGGACUGAGACACGGCCCAGACUCCUACGGGAGGCAGCAGUGCGGAAUUUUGGACAAUGGGCGCAAGCCUGAUCCAGCCAUGCCGCGUGCAGGAUGAAGGCCUUCGGGUUGUAAACUGCUUUUGUACGGAACGAAAAGCCUUCUUUUAAUACAGGAGGGUCAUGACGGUACCGUAAGAAUAAGCACCGGCUAACUACGUG
rnacentral:rRNA from 1 species